GGGCCGGUGGCGUAAUGGUAGCGCAUUGCGUCCGGACGCGAACAAGAAUGGUUCGAUUCCCUUCCGGUCCA
rnacentral:tRNA from 1 species